AUUGAACGCUGGCGGCAUGCUUUACACAUGCAAGUCGAACGGUAACAGGCCUUCGGGUGCUGACGAGUGGCGAACGGGUGAGUAAUGCAUCGGAACGUACCCAGAGGUGGGGGUUAACGCAGCGAAAGCUGUGCUAAUACCGCAUGUGAUCUGAGGAUGACAGCGGGGGACCGAGCAGCAACGUUUGGCCUCGCGCCUUUGGAGCGGCCGAUGUCGGAUUAGCUAGUUGGUGGGGUAAAGGCCUACCAAGGCGACGAUCCGUAGCUGGUCUGAGAGGACGAUCAGCCACACUGGGACUGAGACACGGCCCAGACUCCUACGGGAGGCAGCAGUGGGGAAUUUUGGACAAUGGGCGCAAGCCUGAUCCAGCAAUGCCGCGUGCGGGAAGAAGGCCUUCGGGUUGUAAAGCGCUUUUGGCAGGAACGAAACGGUGUCCGCUAAUACCGGGCGGUAAUGACGGUACCUGCAGAAUAAGCACCGGCUAACUACGUG
rnacentral:rRNA from 1 species